rfam:Choloepus hoffmanni cont1.171436, whole genome shotgun sequence.
CUUAGAGCCAAAUAUAUCUCAGAAGUUUAUAACAUUCAUUUUUCUCUCUUUUUGUUAAUAUUCAAUAGGAAAACAACACUUAAAAUAAACCUUUUUUUCCACGAGGAAGAGAUGGUAAUAACCAU